GGUGAACGCUGGUGGCGUGCUUAAGACAUGCAAGUCGAACGGCAGUCUUCGGACUGUAGUGGCGCACGGGUGAGUAACGCGUAACUGACCUACCCCAAAGUCGCGGAUAACGAUUCGAAAGAAUCGCUAAUACGUGAUGUGCUGUCAGAUUGUGUUCUGCCAGUAAAGAUUGAUUGCUUUGGGAUGGGGUUGCGUUCCAUCAGCUAGUUGGUGGGGUAAAGGCCCACCAAGGCGACGACGGAUAGCCGGCCUGAGAGGGUGGCCGGCCACAGGGGCACUGAGACACGGGUCCCACUCAUACGGGAGGCAGCAGUUAGGAAUCUUCCACAAUGGGCGAAAGCCUGAUGGAGCGACGCCGCGUGAGGGAUGAAGGUCUUCGGAUCGUAAACCUCUGAAUCAGGGACGAAAGACACUUCGGUGGGAUGACGGUACCUGAGUAAUAGCACCGGCUAACUCCGUGCCAGCCGCCGCCGUAAGAC
rnacentral:rRNA from 1 species